rnacentral:rRNA from 1 species
GAUGAACGCUAGCGGGAGGCUUAACACAUGCAAGUCGAGGGGCAGCACGAGGUAGCAAUACUUUGGUGGCGACCGGCGCACGGGUGAGUAACGCGUAUGCAACCUACCCUGUACAGGGGGAUAACCCGGAGAAAUUCGGACUAAUACCCCAUAAAGAUAUUUAGAGGCAUCUUUGAAUAUUUAAAGUUCCGGCGGUACGGGAUGGGCAUGCGUAACAUUAGCUAGUUGGUAAGGUAACGGCUUACCAAGGCAACGAUGUUUAGGGGUCCUGAGAGGGUGAUCCCCCACACUGGUACUGCGACACGGACCAGACUCCAUCGGGAGGCAGAAGUGAGGAAUAUUGGUCAAUGGGCGCAAGCCUGAACCAGCCAUCCCGCGUGAAGGAAGAAUGCGCUAUGCGUUGUAAACUUCUUUUACAGGGGAAUAAAAUUUUGUACGUGUACGGAAUUGAAGGUACCCUGGGAAUAAGCAUCGGCUAACUCCGUGCCAGCCGCCGCAGUAACAC